rnacentral:rRNA from 1 species
AUAAGCCAUGCAAGUUGAAUGGGAUACCUAAAUUUUCCAUAGCAAACUGCUCAGUAACACAUGAUCAACUUGCCCUAUGGAGAAAAAUAACCUCGGGAAACUGAGGAUAAUAUUUCAUAGUUGAAUAGGCUUGGAAAAGUUUUUCAAUGAAAAGGAAAAGAUAAAUGGUUCUUUUCUGCCAUAGGAUAGGAUCGUGGUCGAUUAUGGUAGUUGGUGAGGUAAUGGCUCACCAAGCCGAUAAUCGAUAGGGGCCGUGAGAGCGGGAGCCCCGAGAUGGGUACUGAGACACCGACCCAGACCUUACGAGGUGCAGCAGGCGCGAGACCUCCGCAAUACACGAAAGUGUGACGGGGUUACCCAAAGUGUUCAUUUUUGAACUGUGGUAGGUGAGUAAUGUCCCCUACUAGAAAGGAGAGGGCAAGGCUGGUGCCAGCCGCCGCGGUAAAACCAGCUCUUCAAGUGGUCGGGAUGAUUAUUGGGCUUAAAGUGUCCGUAGCCGGUUUAGUAAGUUCCUGGUAAAAUCAGGUAGCUUAACUACCUGUAUGCUAGGAAUACUACUAUACUAGAGGGCGGGAGAGGUCUGAGGUACUACAGGGGUAGGGGUGAAAUCUUAUAAUCCUUGUAGGACACCAGUGGCGAGGC